CCCUUAGAUGUCCUGGGCCGCACGCGCGCUACACUGACAUGUUCAACAAGCCUCCUAGUUCGACAGGAUUUGGGAAAUCUUUGAACGCAUGUCGUGAUAGGGAUAGAUCAUUGCAAUUAUUGAUCUUGAACGAGGAAUUCCUAGUAAACGCAGAUCAUCAAUCUGCAUUGAUUACGUCCCUGCCCUUUGUACACACCGCCCGUCGCACCUACCGAUUGGAUGGUCCGGUGAAGCCUCGGGAUUGUGGUUCUUGCCGCUUUAUUGUGGCGUGACCGCGAGAACUUGUCUAAACCUUAUCAUCUAGAGGAAGGUGAAGUCGUAACA
rnacentral:rRNA from 1 species